UUGGAGGGCAAGUCUGGUGCCAGCAGCCGCGGUAAUUCCAGCUCCAAUAGCGUAUAUUAAAGUUGCUGCAGUUAAAAAGCUCGUAGUUGAAUUUCGGGACCAAUAUGUCGGUCGUGCUUCGGUACGUACUGUCAUUAUUGGUUUCUCCCUUCUGAAGAACCUUGAUGUCAUUAAUUUGGUGUCUUGGGGAAUCAGGACUGUUACUUUGAAAAAAUUAGAGUGUUUAAAGCAGGCUCGCGCUUGAAUACAUUAGCAUGGAAUAAUGAAAUAGGACGUUUGAUUCUAUUUUGUUGGUUUCUAGGAUCGACGUAAUGAUUAAUAGGGAUAGUUGGGGGCAUUAGUAUUCAAUUGUCAGAGGUGAAAUUCUUGGAUUUAUUGAAGACUAACUACUGCGAAAGCAUUUGCCAAGGAUGUUUUCAUUAAUCAAGAACGAAAGUUAGGGGAUCGAAGACGAUCAGAUACCGUCGUAGUCUUAACCAUAAACUAUGCCGACUAGGGAUCGGAUGAUGUUAAUUUUUUAAUGACUCAUUCGGCGCCUUACGGGAAAC
rnacentral:rRNA from 1 species